rnacentral:lncRNA from 1 species
AUCAAUGCACUUGUAUACUGGGGGCAGGUCUUAGCCUGUCCCUAUGCCCUUUCACUCUAGGGAUCUCUACAUCCUCCUCUUUCCCACUCCACCUGAGCCACCUACACCUCUUUGGGGGACCCUUGUGCCAAGAAACCUACCUUAAUCCAGAUCAAGUGAAUGAAGCCUGGGAUUCUGGAUCUCAAGGUCUCCUCAAACUUCUUCCCUCACAUCCGAGUCUCUUCCUCCCCUAGGAGUCUCCUGGUGCAUGGAACUGACCUGAAACUGGAGUUCCCCCAAAGCCUCUGUCUUCCUUCUGUAGCUGAGCUGCUUCAGCCUCUGUGGGACACUCAUUUGAAGGAACCUGUCUAAAUCCAUGUAAGGU